rnacentral:rRNA from 1 species
AUGGGUGAGUAACACGUAGGCAACCUGCCCUCAAGCUUGGGACAACUACCGGAAACGGUAGCUAAUACCGAAUAGUUGUUUUCUUCUCCUGAAGAAAACUGGAAAGACGGAGCAAUCUGUCACUUGGGGAUGGGCCUGCGGCGCAUUAGCUAGUUGGUGGGGUAACGGCUCACCAAGGCGACGAUGCGUAGCCGACCUGAGAGGGUGAUCGGCCACACUGGGACUGAGACACGGCCCAGACUCCUACGGGAGGCAGCAGUAGGGAAUCUUCCGCAAUGGGCGAAAGCCUGACGGAGCAAUGCCGCGUGAGUGAUGAAGGUUUUCGGAUCGUAAAGCUCUGUUGCCAGGGAAGAACGCUUGGGAGAGUAACUGCUCUCAAGGUGACGGUACCUGAGAAGAAAGCCCCGGCUAACUACGUGCC